rnacentral:rRNA from 1 species
AGAGUUUGAUCAUGGCUCAGAACGAACGCUGGCGGCAUGCCUAACACAUGCAAGUCGGACGCUUUUGGGGUUUCGGCCUCAAGGGAGUGGCGGACGGGUGAGUAGCGCGUGGGAACCUGCCCCUUUGUGGGGGAUAACCGAGGGAAACUUCGGCUAAUACCGCAUGCGCCCCGGCGCGAGCCGGGGGAAAGAUUUAUCGCAGAGGGAGGGGCCCGCGUCGGAUUAGGUAGUUGGUGGGGUAACGGCCUACCAAGCCUGUGAUCCGUAGCUGGUCUGAGAGGAUGAUCAGCCACACUGGGACUGAGACACGGCCCAGACUCCUACGGGAGGCAGCAGUGGGGAAUAUUGGACAAUGGGCGCAAGCCUGAUCCAGCAAUGCCGCGUGAGUGAUGAAGGCCUUAGGGUUGUAAAGCUCUUUCGGCGGGGACGAUGAUGACGGUACCCGCAGAAGAAGCCCCGGCUAACUUCGUGCCAGCAGCCGCGGUAAUACGAAGGGGGCGAGCGUUGUUCGGAUUUACUGGGCGUAAAGGGCGCGUAGGCGGCGGGUCAAGUCGAGUGUGAAAGCCCCGGGCUCAACCUGGGAAUUGCGCUCGAGACUGGUCUGCUUGAGUUCGGGAGAGGAGAGUGGAAUUCCCAGUGUAGAGGUGAAAUUCGUAGAUAUUGGGAAGAACACCGGUGGCGAAGGCGGCUCUCUGGACCGAUACUGACGCUGAGGCGCGAAAGCGUGGGGAGCAAACAGGAUUAGAUACCCUAGUAGUCC